rnacentral:rRNA from 1 species
UAACAAGGAUUCCCCUAGUAACUGCGAGUGAAGCGGGAAAAGCUCAAAUUUAAAAUCUGGUGGUCUCUGGCCGCCCGAGUUGUAGUCUGGAGAAGUGCUUUCCGCGCUGGACCGUGUAUAAGUCUCUUGGAACAGAGCGUCAUAGAGGGUGAGAAUCCCGUCUUUGACACGGACUACCAGUGCUUUGUGAUGCGCUCUCAAAGAGUCGAGUUGUUUGGGAAUGCAGCUCAAAAUGGGUGGUGAAUUCCAUCUAAAGCUAAAUAUUGGCGAGAGACCGAUAGCGAACAAGUACCGUGAGGGAAAGAUGAAAAGCACUUUGGAAAGAGAGUUAAACAGUACGUGAAAUUGCUGAAAGGGAAACGCUUGAAGUCAGUCGCGUUGUUCAGAACUCAGCCUUGCUUUUGCUUGGUGCACUUUCUGGAUGACGGGCCAGCAUCGAUUUUGACCGUCGGAAAAGGGCUGGAGUAAUGUGGCACCUUCGGGUGUGUUAUAGACUCUAGUCGCAUACGGCGGUUGGGAUCGAGGACCGCAGCGCGCCGCAAGGCAGGGGUUCGCCCACUUUCGCGCUUAGGAUGCUGGCAUAAUGGCUUUAAACGAC